AUCGCUUCUCAGCCUUUUGGCUAAGAUCAAGUGUAGCAAUAGAUUUUUUUUAAUGUAUGCUUUAAUUUUUUUCUUAUAAAUUUUGUUGCUAAUCACAGGAUUUAGUCAGACUCCUAUGCACACUCACGACUCUGUAAUCUUA
rnacentral:snRNA from 1 species